GUCUAGUGAAAGUAAAAAGAAGAAAAACAGAGCUAAGCCAAGGAAAUGAUUUCUUUCCCACCUACAAUGCAUGAAAAGAAAUUAACAUGAAAAGGGUCUGAGGAAGACAUUAAUAUUUUGAUAGUGGCAGAAGAAUGUUAUUUACAAAAAUAAUGACAAAUGUUGAAGAGAAAAUACAGGCUUCCUAGCAACUAGACCAAAGAUAAGAUGCUGUUGAAUUCAAGAUAGACAUUUGGAAUAUACAGUUAGCUGUCAUUUGAACACAGGCCCAUGGCACAAGUUCAGAAACGUAAAGUUACAGAGAAAAUAAAGACCCCCAGAGCAAAAUCACCACAGUCUCCAUGGAAAUCAAUUGGUUCAUUCUUCGUCUUAAGAGUCCAGCAUUCACUCAACAAACAUCUUAUGCUGCCAGGUUUCUCUAAUGCAGCAGAGACUAGGCCCAGACAGAAGGAUAUGCCACAGCAGGAGACAGGAUCCAGAAUGAGAAUAGACAAAAGACAUUUUCAAAAGUCCAGGUUCACAGCUUGACAGAAGCCUUCACACAGAAAGAGCCAUUGCACAUUGGACAGAUGAUCCCAGAAUGGAAGUUUCCAGAGGAAAUAACAGUCAAUAAACAGGGGUUGAUCCCAGGAUUCUGUGCCUGCUAAGCAAACAUUCUGUCACAGAGCUACACCUCCCGUUCCAGAUGAAUUACUGGUGUGAUGAAUUUGACUUCAACUUAAUGACACAACUUGUAAUGUUACCAAAAAAAAAAAAAAAAAAAGGAAUAAUUCCACAAGGCAAACAUUCAAACAUAAAUCCACGAAGUUGAACGUCAUCAGCGAUCUGAUUCAUUUUAUGAUUAGAAUAACAUUCCUUAAUAAUUCUUAUAUAACAUGGCUUGAGAUACCCAAAGUACAUAUUUUCUAUCAACACAAAUGCUUCUUCACCAUGUAUCCUAGGAAAAAAAUCACCUAGGGGUGAUUAUUAAAAAAAAAAAAAAAA
rnacentral:lncRNA from 1 species